CCAUUGGUGGUUCAGUGGUAGAAUUCUCGCGUCCCACGUGGGAGACCAGGGUCUGAUUCCCAGCCAAUGCA
rfam:Danio rerio chromosome 4, GRCz11 reference primary assembly.